AUUGAACGCUGGCGGCAGGCAUAACACAUGCAAGUCGAACGGUAACAGGGAUCAGCUUGCUGAUUCGCUGACGAGUGGCGGCCGGGUGAGUAAUGUCUGGGAAACUGCCUGAUGGAGGGGGAUAACUACUGGAAACGGUAGCUAAUACCGCAUAACGUCGCAAGACCAAAGAGGGGGACCUUCGGGCCUCUUGCCAUCGGAUGUGCCCCGAUGGGAUUAGCUAGUAGGUGGGGUAACGGCUCACCUAGGCGACGAUCCCUAGCUGGUCUGAGAGGAUGACCAGCCACACUGGAACUGAGACACGGUCCAGACUCCUACGGGAGGCAGCAGUGGGGAAUAUUGCACAAUGGGCGCAAGCCUGAUGCAGCCAUGCCGCGUGUAUGAAGAAGGCCUUCGGGUUGUAAAGUACUUUCAGCGGGGAGGAAGGGAGUAAAGUUAAUACCUUUGCUAAUUGACGUUACCCGCAGAAGAAGCACCGGCUAACUCCGUG
rnacentral:rRNA from 1 species